GCUGCCGCUCGAUUAAGACGAGUCUCAUCCGGUAGAGCGAAUGAUUAGAGGCAUUGGGGUCGAAACGACCUCAACCUAUUCUCAAACUCCAAAUAGAUGAGAGCUCCGGCUUACUCGGAAGUGAAGCCGCGAGGUUUUGAUCCGAGUGGCCAGUGGGCCAAUUUUGGUAAGCAGAACUGGCGCUGUGG
rnacentral:rRNA from 2 species